UUCCUACCCAAACUGUUUUCUCUCGGGUUGAAUUUAUUAUUGACUUUUGUCUUGAUGGUUUGAUUUUAGGCGUACUGUGGUGAGCAUUCCCAACGGUCCGUCUGCUCUCGCUGUGAAAGAAGCUGCUUGGGGCCUUGCUCGAUACGCUGCCAUUUCACAAGUAAACACACACGUUGCUUCUCCGUCAAGAAACCGGUUAAAUCGGAUUCUUUUAUGAUAUUUCUCACGCUAAAUUGUGAUGUUUCAGGACAGUGGAUUGGUUCCCAUAGUGGAGCCAGAGAUCUUGUUGGAUGGAGAACACGACAUUGACAGGACUUACGAAGUAGCUGAGAAGGUGUGGGCUGAGGUUUUCUUUUACCUAGCUCAGAACAAUGUCAUGUUUGAAGGUAUCCUCCUGAAGCCGAGCAUGGUGACUCCAGGAGCCGAGUCUAAAGACAGAGCUACUCCUGAACAAGUUGCCUCCUACACCCUUAAGCUCCUCCGCAACAGAAUCCCUCCUGCCGUCCCUGGAAUCAUGGCAAGCUUUAAAUGAGUUUUUUAUUACAAAAAAUGAGGAAAACCUAGAUCUUGGUUGCUUGAGGUGAAAGUUAAGUUUUUUUUGUGUUUUUUUUUCUGCAGUUCUUGUCCGGAGGACAGUCUGAGUUGGAGGCAACGUUGAACCUGAACGCGAUGAACCAGGCACCAAACCCGUGGCACGUGUCCUUCUCCUACGCACGUGCUCUUCAGAACACUUGCCUGAAAACAUGGGGAGGCAGAGCUGAGAAC
rnacentral:lncRNA from 1 species